CGAGUAGGACUACCCGCUGAACUUAAGCAUAUCAAUAAGCGGAGGAAAAGAAACUAACAAGGAUUCCCCUAGUAACGGCGAGUGAAGAAGGAAGAGCUCAAAUUUUGAAUCUGGCGUCUUUGGCGUCCGAAUUGUAAUCUAGAGAAUGUUUUCCGUGACGGAACGUGCACAAGUCG
rnacentral:rRNA from 1 species